rnacentral:rRNA from 1 species
GUGGGGAAUCUUGCGCAAUGGGCGAAAGCCUGACGCAGCCAUGCCGCGUGAAUGAUGAAGGUCUUAGGAUUGUAAAAUUCUUUCACCGGGGACGAUAAUGACGGUACCCGGAGAAGAAGCUCCGGCUAACUUCGUGCCAGCAGCCGAGGUAAUACGAAGGGGGCUAGCGUUGCUCGGAAUUACUGGGCGUAAAGGGCGCGUAGGCGGACAGCUUAGUCAGAGGUGAAAGCCCAGAGCUCAACCUUGGAAUUGCCUUUGAUACUGGCUGGCUGGAGUUUGGGAUAGGUGAGUGGAUCUCCGUGUGUAGAGGUGAAAUUCGUAGAUAUUCGGAAGAACACCAGUGGCGAAGGCGACUCACUGGCCCAAUACUGACGCUUAGGCUCGAAAGCGUGGGGAGCAAACAGGAUUAGAAACCCCAGUAGUCC